rnacentral:rRNA from 1 species
GACGAACGCUGGCGGCGUGCUUAACACAUGCAAGUCGAACGGAAAGGCCCUGCUUUUGUGGGGUGCUCGAGUGGCGAACGGGUGAGUAACACGUGAGUAACCUGCCCUUGACUUUGUGAUAACUUCAGGAAACUGGGGCUAAUACCGGAUAGGAGCUCCUGCUGCAUGGUGGGGGUUGGAAAGUUUCGGCGGUUGGGGAUGGACUCGCGGCUUAUCAGCUUGUUGGUGGGGUAGUGGCUUACCAAGGCUUUGACGGGUAGCCGGCCUGAGAGGGUGACCGGCCACAAUAGGACUGAGGUACGGACCAGAAGCCUACGGGAGGCAGCAGUGGAGAAUAUUGCACAAUGGGCCGAAGCCUGAUGCAGAAACGCCGCGUGCGGGAUGACGGGCUUCGGGUUGUAAACCGCUUUCGCCUGUGACGAAGCGUGAGUGACGGUAAUGGGUAAAGAAGCACCGGCUAACUACGUG